GCCGACGUGGUGAAAUUGGUAUACACGUACGCUUGAGGUGCGUAUGCCGCAAGGUGUGGAGGUUCAAGUCCUCUCGUCGGCA
rnacentral:tRNA from 1 species